GAACAUCUGUGAAGUAUUGGCAUUAAUGGCCUGGAAUAGGAACAAAGGAAACAGAGAGCUGGAAUAACUCAGGCUUUGCUAUUAGCUGCACAAGAAUGUUGGGGAAUCAAUAAACACAUUGAUCCAGACAAGAAUUGUUUUAAAGUGGUGUUGCCAGAAAUCUGCGGAUAGAUCAGAGGAUAGUGGAAUGGAUGGCUGUGGAACAAAUUUCUUUCCCCUGCACAAGGCUGUUGCUGUGUGCUCAAAGAUAGUUGGGGUGACCUCUCAAAGUGGAAAGGAGCAUCAGUCACCCUCUUUUACACUGGGAAGUUCCAUGUGAGCCAUCAGACGCUGUUGUCAUGUUCUUCUGAUCUGCAGUCUCCCCUUGGCUAAGUGGAUCUCGGCCAGGCCUCAGUAACUCUGCAACCACCAGUCUCCUCCUGCAGAUUCCGAGAACCCCCGGCUAGUGUGUGCAGCUCCCGUGGCAGCAAUAGCAUUUGCCUUCCAACUUGUAUCAGGGCUCCUCCUUUAGUCUCU
rnacentral:lncRNA from 1 species